rnacentral:rRNA from 1 species
UCGGGAAUUUUGGGCAAUGGGCGAAAGCCUGACCCAGCAACGCCGCGUGAGGGAUGAAGUAUUUCGGUAUGUAAACCUCGAAAGAAUGGGAAGAAUAAAUGACGGUACCAUUUAUAAGCUCCGGCUAACUACGUGCCAGCAGCCGCAGUAAUACGUAGGGAGCAAGCGUUGUUCGGAUUUACUGGGCGUAAAGGGCGCGUAGGCGGCGCGGUAAGUCACUUGUGAAAUCUCUGAGCUUAACUCAGAACGGCCAAGUGAUACUGCUGUGCUAGAGUGCGGAAGAGGCGACCGGAAUUCUUGGUGUAGCGGUGAAAUGCGUAGAUAUCAAGAGGAACACCUGAGGCGAAGGCGGGUUGCUGGGCCGACACUGACGCUGAUGCGCGAAAGCCAGGGGAGCAAACG